GCGCACUUGAUUCAAAUCCAUCAGGUUAUCGCAAAAAAAAUAAGGUCGGAUACUUUUCUCACAGGCCUCGUAUAGUACACAGUAACUGUUUUUCGCACUCCUGAAGAUGACGUGAAACAUGUAGAGUGAAUUUUACGACCGUUAAUCGGUUUAAAUAAAGAUUUUAAUUGUGUAUUAUAAAACAUUGUUCACUUGUGGUUUUUAAUAUUUCAUCUCAGUAUUGAAUUUUCCUUUUCCAGGAAAUUAGGUUUGAACUAUUGAUCUUUGAGAGUUAACUUACUAAUUUGAGUUUUUGAAGAGCUGAAAUAAUUUUGGAUUCAGUGAUGGGGUGGUGAAAUUAAAAAUGCAAGGAGCAUGUACAAGUUGUCCAAGUUCUGUUGUGACUUUAAAAAAUGGAGUAGAGAACAUGUUAAAAUUUUACAUCCC